rnacentral:rRNA from 1 species
CAUUCCGCCUGGGGAGUACGGUCGCAAGACUGAAACUCAAAGGAAUUGACGGGGACCCGCACAAGCAGUGGAGUAUGUGGUUUAAUUCGAAGCAACGCGAAGAACCUUACCAGGUCUUGACAUCCCUCUGACCGGUACAGAGAUGUGCCUUUCCUUCGGGACAGAGGAGACAGGUGGUGCAUGGUUGUCGUCAGCUCGUGUCGUGAGAUGUUGGGUUAAGUCCCGCAACGAGCGCAACCCUUGAUCUUAGUUGCCAGCACGU